GCCUGGGUGGCUCAGUCAGUUGAGCGUCCGACUUCAGCUCAAGUCAUGAUCGCACAGUUCGUGGGUUCGAGCCCCGCCUCGGGCU
rnacentral:tRNA from 1 species